UGCCAAAAACCUCCGUCGAACCCCUCUCCGCUGAAUAUCUCCGCCCAACCCCUCUCCAGCGAACCCCUCUCUGGUGAAUCCUAUGUUCGCAGAAGCCCUCUCUAUCGAAUCCUGAGAUUUCAUCAACAAGCCAUUUCACCUCCCCCGCCGUCGCGGGUUGGUCUUCCGAAUUCCAACGACCUCCAUAUCCUGCAUCCGUUGAAUCCCGAUACUCAUCCUAUUGAUCUAACCAAGAAGCCACCACACGCCUCCAUCUCUGUUGAAGUGGCACCAUCUGAGUCGAAUCCCUACACUGCUCACUCUCCCACAGAUAGCUGCUCCUCAUCGAAAAGGAUUAAUUUCCCCCUUACUGUAUGGAGUUGGAUCUCACUUUUCCAGAUGUUAUAAUCAAGUACAAGACCGCGGCGGAGAUUGUCAAUAAGGCCCUUCAACUGGUGGUAUCUCAGUGCAGACCCAAAGCUAAUUAGGUUGUGAUUUAUGUGAGAAAGGCGACUCCUUCAUCAGAGAGCAAACUGGUAACGUGUACAAGAAUGUGAAGAGAGAGAUUGAAAGGGGCGUAGCUUUUCCAACUUACAUUUCUAUCAACAACACCGUGUGCCAUUUUUCACCCCUUAGCAAUGAUGAGAGUAUACUGGAAGAGAAUGAC